CAAUAGCGUAUAUUAAAGUUGUUGCAGUUAAAAAGCUCGUAGUUGGAUUUCUGGUGGGAGCGAUCGGUCUGGCGCUUAGCGCGAGUACUUGCAUCGUCUCCGGCCAUCCUUGGGGAGAGUCUGUCUGGCAUUAGGUUGUCGGGCAGAGGAUCCUCAUCGUUUACUGUGAAAAAAUUAGAGUGUUCAAAGCAGGCUUAUGCCGUUGAAUAUAUUAGAAUGGAAUAAUAAGAUAGGACUUUGGUACUAUUUUGUUGGUUUGCGCACCAAAGUAAUGAUUAAUAGGGACAGUUGGGGGUAUUCGUAUUCCGUUGUCAGAGGUGAAAUUCUUGGAUUUACGGAAGACGAACUACUGCGAAAGCAUUUACCAAGGAUGUUUUCAUUAA
rnacentral:rRNA from 1 species